rnacentral:rRNA from 1 species
GACGACGAUGCUAGGGGUUCUGAGAGGAAGGUCCCCCACACUGGUACUGAGACACGGACCAGACUCCUACGGGAGGCAGCAG